rnacentral:tRNA from 1 species
GGGGCUGUAGCGCAGUUGGGAGCGCGGCUGCAUGGCAUGCAGUAGGUCGAGAGUUCAAAUCUCUCCAGCUCCACCA